rnacentral:lncRNA from 1 species
UUUAAGCUCAUCAUUUUGGUAAGACCUUUCUCUAACGUCGAUGGGAAUUGCAACAGCCGAAGCGUGUGACCAGUGGGAGCAGUAUCGAAAACUAUCACCGAGUAAUCCAUCGUUUGCACCAACCUUGCCAUCUCAGCGAAACUCAUAGCUUCAUCGAUUCCAGGAAUUGAGUUUGCUAAAUCCGACAAGAAACCGUCCAUUCCUUCUGCCCCCUCUUCUCCUUCCUCCACAUUGGGAUCC